GGGAGUUUGGCCGAGUGGUUCAAGGCGGUGGAUUUAAGUAUUUGCUUGCCUGUUGGCAAAGCAGAGAAACUCUCCACUGGACGCAAGUCCGCGUGAGUUCGAACCUCACAGCUCUCA
rnacentral:tRNA from 1 species